CUCGUUCAACAAGUUUCAUGAUUUAUAACACCUACUUGAAAAAAAAAAAAAAAAAAAAAUAGAAAAAUGUAUUUAUUACCGAAAAUUAAUACGUCCCAUUAUUUAUAUUAAAAUCACUCCUUUAUUGUGCAUCCAAAUUAUAAUACGGAUACCUGAAAUUGUUUCGUCGAACAGAAUUAACGCGAGGUUCGUUACGAGUUGUCUUUGGCGGUAAAAAAAAAAAAAAAAAAGUCAAUUGCAUGCACAAAUAUAGAAGUUUUUGUUCGAUAACCGUAUAACGGUCGAAUUUCGAUGGAAAUCGUAAAAACCACGAUUUUUCGC